rnacentral:rRNA from 1 species
GAUACAAGCCAUACACAUUGUCAAGGCCUGAUCAUAUCUGACCUCGGAAAGUGAGCAGAGCUGGGCUUGGUCAGUACUUGGAUGGGAGACGGCUGGGAAUACCAAAUGUGUCUAGCG